CUGACUGGGGCUUCUAUUCUCUCCCGCUUGCGGCAGGAGGCUGAAUGAAUGGUGUGGGAUGGAGUUCGCUGUGUACUUUGGAUCUCAAACGGUGUUUCUCAAAUGCUACUGGAAGCAACUGGCCCCGCUACCUCUCCUGCAAGGGAACACCACACACUGAAAAAAGAACAUCCCGUAUUACCUGACCUCCCGCCUCCUUACCCCUCUGUGGUAUAGUUAGAUUGCAAGUC